rnacentral:rRNA from 1 species
UUUUUUAAUUGAAGACUGGAAUGAAAGGUAGAUACUAAGAGGAAAGUUUUAUUUGAUGAUUUUGAAUUUAAAUUAAAAAUUAAAAUGUUUUUAUGAAAUCUUGGGACGAGAAGACCCUAGAAGCUUAUAAAUUACUAUAUUUUUUAUUGGGGCAAUAUUUGAAGAGAAAAAUUUUUGAAAUUUUUGAAGGAAAAAAUGAGAAGUUACUCUAGGGAUAACAGCAUUAUUUAGUUAACGAGUUCUUAUUAAUAACUAAGAUUAUGACCUCGAUGUUGAAUUAAAAUUAAUAUUGGGUGAAGGAGCUUAAUAAUUUAGUCUGUUCGACUAUUGAAAUUUUACGUGAUCUGAGUUCAGACCGG